GAGUUUGAUCCUGGCUCAGGACGAACGCUGGCGGCGUGCUUAACACAUGCAAGUCGAACGGUAAGGCCCCUUCGGGGGUACACGAGUGGCGAACGGGUGAGUAACACGUGGGUAAUCUGCCCUGCACUUCGGGAUAAGCCUGGGAAACUGGGUCUAAUACCGGAUAUGAACUCCUGCCGCAUGGUGGGGGUUGGAAAGUUUUUCGGUGCAGGACGAGCCCGCGGCCUAUCAGCUUGUUGGUGGGGUAAUGGCCUACCAAGGCGACGACGGGUAGCCGGCCUGAGAGGGUGAUCGGCCACACUGGGACUGAGACACGGCCCAGACUCCUACGGGAGGCAGCAGUGGGGAAUAUUGCACAAUGGGCGAAAGCCUGAUGCAGCGACGCCGCGUGGGGGAUGACGGUCUUCGGAUUGUAAACCCCUUUCAGUAGGGACGAAGCGCAAGUGACGGUACCUGCAGAAGAAGCACCGGCUAACUACGUGCCAGCAGCCGCGGUAAUACGUAGGGUGCGAGCGUUGUCCGGAAUUACUGGGCGUAAAGAGCUCGUAGGCGGUUUGUCACGUCGUCUGUGAAAUCCCUCGGCUUAACCGGGGGCGUGCAGGCGAUACGGGCAGACUUGAGUACUACAGGGGAGACUGGAAUUCCUGGUGUAGCGGUGAAAUGCGCAGAUAUCAGGAGGAACACCGGUGGCGAAGGCGGGUCUCUGGGUAGUAACUGACGCUGAGGAGCGAAAGCAUGGGUAGCGAACAGGAUUAGAUACCCUGGUAGUCCAUGCCGUAAACGGUGGGCGCUAGGUGUGGGGUCCUUCCACGGACUCCGUGCCGUAGCUAACGCAUUAAGCGCCCCGCCUGGGGAGUACGGCCGCAAGGCUAAAACUCAAAGGAAUUGACGGGGGCCCGCACAAGCGGCGGAGCAUGUGGAUUAAUUCGAUGCAACGCGAAGAACCUUACCUAGGCUUGACAUAUACAGGACGACGGCAGAGAUGUCGUUUCCCUUGUGGCUUGUAUACAGGUGGUGCAUGGUUGUCGUCAGCUCGUGUCGUGAGAUGUAGGGUUAAGUCCCGCAACGAGCGCAACCCCUGUCUCAUGUUGCCAGCACGUAAUGGUGGGGACUCGUGAGAGACUGCCGGGGUCAACUCGGAGGAAGGUGGGGAUGACGUCAAAUCAUCAUGCCCCUUAUGUCUAGGGCUUCACACAUGCUACAAUGGCUAGUACAGAGGGCUGCGAUACCGCGAGGUGGAGCGAAUCCCUUAAAGCUGGUCUCAGUUCGGAUUGGGGUCUGCAACUCGACCCCAUGAAGUCGGAGUCGCUAGUAAUCGCAGAUCAGCAACGCUGCGGUGAAUACGUUCC
rnacentral:rRNA from 1 species